rnacentral:rRNA from 1 species
CAAUAGCGUAUAUUAAAGUUGUUGCAGUUAAAAAGCUCGUAGUUGAAUUUCUGGCGGGCGCGCCGGUCUUCCAAGUGUUGUACUGGGCGCAGUCCGCCAUCCUUGUGGAGAGGGCUCGCAUUGAGUUGCGUGUCGGAUCUGCAUCAUUUACUGUGAAAAAAUUAGAGUGUUUAAAGCAGGCUGUCGCUUGAAUACAUUAGCAUGGAAUAAUAAGAUAGGACUUCGGUCUAUUUUGUUGGUUGCGAACCGAGGUAAUGAUUAAUAGGGAUAGUUGGGGGUAUUCAUAUUUAAUUGUCAGGGGUGAAAUUCUUGGAUUUAUGAAAGAUGAACAACUGCGAAAGCAUUUACCAAGGAUGUUUUCAUUAA